AGGUAGUCAUCUAGUUCUAGAACACAGAACGUUGAGAAGAAAAUCCAACCACUCUUUUCCUCCAAGAAGAAGAUCUUCAGCCCCUACCUCAGGGGACUACUAUGAACUUGACUGAGAGAGUGAUCCGUGCAGAGGGAAUUAAAAGAAGACAUUUGGAACUUAUAUGAAGAAAACAGCAAGGACCAGAAAAGGAAACACACAGAUCUACCUACCGCCCCGCGAAGGAAGGAGGCCAAGACGGUAGGUAUGUGAUUAAGGGUUUGUUACUAUCAUAUUCACAUAUAAUUUAGUCCUUCCUUUUUAACAAUCCCAGGAGGAUUUCUCCCAUACUCUGACAAGAGUUCUAAAGUGGGAACUUUAAAAUGGCACUAGGUCUGUGUAGCUGGACCACACUCUGUGCAUGACUUUCACCGGAUUCCUGUUUUGAGGCUUUAGCGAAGACUACGCCCCACCCCGCAGUGAAAUAAGCUUUCAGAGUAUUUACGUACGUUUUCAGUAGCCACUUAUAAGAGGCGUCUGCAAAUAACUAAACAUCCAACAUACGGGCCAAAUACCGUAUGGUAAGAUGGAUGGGUUCACUGACUGCUCCUAAUCUGAAAAACUCUAUAUUGAAAAAAAAAUCUAAAUUCUCUUGGGCAUUCACAUGAUUCCAUAACGCUCACAGUUCUAAACUUGGUUCAUGUGUACUGUAAUUAAAAUAUUGUAUAAAAUUACCUCCAGUUGCAUAUAUAAGCUACAUGGAAGGGUAGAUACAUUUAGAAUUAGGCUGGGAUUCUACCUCUGAGAAACAUCACCAUGUAUAUGCUACUAUUCCAAAGUAAAAAAAAAAAAAUUCCCAAAUCCAAACCGUUAAAAAAAAAAAAAAAAGAUUUGCUUUGAUUCACGUGCGCUACAUGUGUGCAGGUGCCCGCAGAGGCCAGAAGAGGGCGUCAGAUCAGCUGCUGCUGGAGUUACGAGCAGUUGUGAGCAGCUCAGGGUCAGCUGUCCUUAAAGGCAGCCAGCAUCCUAAAGCACUGACCAUCUCUCUCUCCACCCUUACACCCCCCAUUAGAAACCUUUCUGAUCCUAGGCACUUAGGAAAAGGGAGAGCAAGUGUGUUUAAUAACUGUGAGGUUACAACAGAGAUACGUAAUUACUAAAAUAAUACAGCAUACAGCUAAAUGGGAAUUCAACCUAGACAGACAGCAUAGCAUCUGUCUAACUUCUAGCGGAAGGUACAGUAAACCGGGGAAUGGGGGCAUGGGAUACUGGGCCAGGGUUGCAAGCUAAGUGGGAGUUUGGAAGGCCACUGACUCCCAAGGGCCUCCUCCUGCAGGACUGAUGGGAAGCUAGGUAAACACACUUAUAGAGCGGAUGGGGCAUAAAGUCCAAGGCUGAGAAAGACUCUGUUUAUUAGACCUGUAAACCUGCCCUGCCAUGCAUGUGAUUUCUUUAUGAUAAGAUGUAUCAACUGUGUAAAUACACCUUAACCACUUAUCUAAGUUUGUGUGAGCUUUAAUGUUUAAAAGAAUUUAAUCUAUUAAAGAGAGAUGCUAAACCUCAAGUUAAAAAAAUAUUAUCCUACUUGAACAAACCGAAAUUACGAACGAACAGAUGGUCAUACUGAACUUCAUGGUACAGAAAAAGCUACAGCGUAAGAUUAGAUCUUAGGGAACUGAAACAAAUAAAUACCUAUUGAGUUUUUAAUAGACCCCAAAGCUUUGUUAACCCUGACAGAGAAAACUCCUUAGUCACCAGACAGAAGCAAUACUGUGAACUAGCUAGAAAAUGCAAUGGUUUCAAGCAGAUGUUACCUGUGAGCCAGGGACUUUGUUGCUGUCUGUCUUAAUCACUCACAACCACCCUAGGAAAUGGUGUAAGUGCAAUUAAAAAAACAAAAGAGACAAAUUGAGUUACCCAAGGUCAGAAAGGAAACAGCAAAUCUUAACUUUACAUCAGGACUCUGACCUCAGGAGGUUUCUGUUCUUGAUGGCACACUAUAUACUCCCGGAUACGACACUUUAAUAGGUGAGCAAUACAGUAAUGCAAAGACCAAGAGACAAUUAUCAGGUUUGGUUUGUUUUUUUCAAUAAAGAGACAUACACGCAUAGGAAAGUUCUCUAAAUAGCAAAUAUCAAUACGGAGGCCAGGCAUGGAACUGAGGGACAGAACUCUUGUUCAGCAUUGGGAAGAUCCUAGGAUCAAUCUCCAGCACCAGAACACCAGAAAACAACACAUACACACACACAGACACACAAACACAGACACACAGACACACAGAGACACACACGAAGACAUUCAGAGACAGACACAGACACACACACACAGAGACACACACAUAGACACAGAGACAUACACACAUCACAGACAGAAACACACGCAGACACACACACAGACACAGAGACAUACUCACAUCACAGAAACACACACAGACACAGACACACAGACACACAGACACACAGACACACACACACACACACACACACACACACACACACACACACACCAGAUACUAAAACUUUAGUAGGCAAAUGUUAAUACAUAAGCCAUCCAUCGUCUGGGGAGAUCAAAAGGUGGUUGCUAAUAGCUUACCUACCAUCUAUAUUCACCACAUUAAUUAAAGCCAGGAUCAUCAAUAAAUCACUGUGUUAUAUUUAUAAUACUGGUUCAUUAUUCUAUGUCAACAGGAUCCAGGAGGACAGGAGAUAUCCUGACUUAAAGCUUUUCUUAAAGACCAGGAUAUCUUAACUUCAGUUGCAUGUCCCCGUGAAACUCCCGAGGAAUAGCACAGCACUCGAGCUGCAAUGGUGCUCUGCGAGGGAUGCAAUUCCACUUCAGAGGCAACCACGAUAUUUCAUUUUAAGGCUGCAUUGUGUGUGUCUUGCCUCAAAUGCAUGAGGCCAUGGGGUGGGUUUCCCAGCACGUCAUAGACUGGGUUGGUGACACACAUCUAUAAUCCCAAUGCUCGAGGUGGGGGGGUGGACUCGGGAGCUGGGCCCUCAAGGGCUAUCCUCAGCCACACAGCAAGUUCGAAGCCAGCCUAGGACACUUGGGACACUAUCCCGGAACACAGUUUGCUUUGCUAUUUUAUCAAUGAGUUCCUGAAAAUUCUAAAGAUAGCCAGCCAGUAGCUUAUUGAAAACUAUCACCUGUUUUAGAUGCUUUGUUAACAAGCAUGACUUGUCAAACCUCCUCCCAGAUAUAAAGUUGUCUUAGUUAUUUUGUGUUUUGAAACAGGGUCUCUCCAUAGAUCCCACACUCGCCUGGACCUCCAUGGGUAGCCUAGGCUAAGUGUGAACCAGUGGUCUUCUUGGCUUAGACUCCUGUGUGCUGGAAACACAGGCCUGUACCACCACUUCCAGAUUAGAUCUGAAGUUCUGGACAGCCACAAGGUCCUACAUAUUUUCGAUAGAACGUAAUUCCAAUUUAGAAAUUACUUUGUGACACAUUAUUUUUUUUAUUUUUAAUUUAUUUAUUAUCUAUAAGUUCACUGUAGCUGUCUUCAGACACACCAGAAGAGGGCAUCGGAUCUCAUUACAGAUGGUUGUGAGCUGCCAUGUGGUUGCUGGGAAUUGAACUCAGGAUCUCUGGAAGAGCAGCUGGCACUCUUAACCACUGAGCCAUCUCUCCAGCCUGUGACACAUUAUUUUGUAAAUACCUUGUAAAACUAUUUUUAAUGGAAAAAAAUAACUGGAAAGCCAAUUUCAAUCAAUUCUAUCUGCCUACAUUAACAUGGGGUAAAAUUCGUUGUAGAGAUGAGAUGUUUUUUCUUCUGGUGCACACAUUUUAAGGUGGAUGGGUUAUUUCAGUUUGUACCUAGUUGACAUGAGAGAAAGAGGAAACCCCAUCCAUCGGAAGAGACCGGAACUAACUGGGAUCACAGGCAGGCCUGGAGAAAGGCUGCAGGCAGGCCUGGAGAAAGGCUGCAAUGUAGUUUUGGAGUUUCUCUCUGAGGCAAUAGACUUGUUCUAAAACUAAACAUUGAACUAAACAUUGAUGAUCCCUGAACAAUUUUCUAAUUUACUAAAAAAAAAAAAAUCAUUAAACUUACACUUAAAACAAGGAAAUUUACGGUAUUGAGUUGCAAUGCCACUUGCCUGUUUAAAGCUGAUGUAGCCUACAGGACUGAAUUUUUCUUAAAAACAAACAAACAAACAAACAAACAAAAAACAGAAAACCAAGUCCAUACUCUGACUUCCGGACUUUUGUCCCUUUACAGUGCCAGACUGAGCAGCUGGGCAUUUCCUUAACAGUGAUUCAGAAGGAUCACACAUUUCUAACAAAAUGUGUUCAACAAACCAAAGCAAGAAGAAUAGCUAAUGGAAACCUCUUAACUAAAAUUAUGCAGUCUGUCUUCUCCUACCCCACAAAGUGGUAAAGUGACUUGGGAAAGAUGGGCUUCCCAACAGAAUUGAUCCAAAGUCAUUCUGUGUAACUGAGCUUUUAUCAUUACCAUCCUCAUCAUCAUUAUCCCAUCCUCCUCCUCCUCCUUCAUCAUCAUCAUCUCUGCUGUAGUGCUGACUGACACACGCGCACACACACUCAUGCAGACACACUCACAAUGCAUGCACACAUUCAUACAUAUGCUAAUGUAUCUUUGUUAAAAUGAUUCUUCUGCUAUUGUCACUCACAAUUCCAAAUAGUUAGUUCUCUUUAUAAUACACACUAGCAUCAGAGACAGUAGACAGAAUAAUCCGGUCACCAGUAGCAAUACAUAGCCAGAAAAUGGUCUAUAAAAAGUCAUCCAACUUGAAAAUAUCCCCCAGAAUGCUCCAAAAAUAUCCCCCAGAAUGCUCCUCGAGUCAGAUCUCAAUGGAGUGACUUCACGGUGCCAUUUACUCAGCAGAAACAGUUGCUACGUCAGGAAUCCCUUGUCUCCCACUACAAAGGAUUCCUUUCUAUAAAACACUCCUUGUGCCGUGAUUUAUUAUUUUUAAACUUGAGCAGCAAAUAUUUACUCUGGAUAUGGACUCACUUCAGCCAUUAAAGGAAACAGUUUUUGGUGAGAACAGGCUUUACUUGUCCCUAAUUUUAUUCCUGUUGCUUGGGAUGAACUGCAGUGAUAAUUAUCUGCUUAUACAAUCCCAGUUUUCCUUGUACAUCUUCUAUACCCAGAAAUUGAUUCCUUUAGGUUUUAAUAUUUAAUAUUCUGUAAGAAGAGGCUGUAAAAUUUAUCUGUUAAAGUGGGAGUUUUAUGCAAAGUGUGUUUUUAAAUUGUAUUUAACAUUUAAGUCAUAUAUUAGGGCUUUUUUCUAAGAAUUGGACUUUUUUCUCGUCCAAGAAAGAAAGUGAAGCAGAAGCUUAAACAUUAAUGCAAACUGCUCUUUCUGAAUGACAAAAGGUCUCAUUCCAGGUAAGCCAGAAUCAUCAUCGGAGGCAAUGCUACAUUCCCUGGUCAACAGCAAGAAAUUAUUAGACUUGAAGAUAUAAUUUUAUUAUAAAAAAUCAACAGAAAAAAGAAACAAAAGGAUCAGCUCCUUUCAAAUAACUUAAUAAUUUUCCUUUUUUAAAAAAAAGAUUUAUUUAUAUGAGUACACUGUAGCUGUCUUCAGACACACCAGAAGAGGGCACCAGAUCCCAUUACAGAUGGUCGUGAGCCACCAUGUGGUUGCUGGGAUUUGAACUCAGGACCUCUGGAAGAGCAGUCGGUGCUGAGACAUAAUUUUCCACUUUAAUACAAUUUCUCCUUCCUUCCUCCCUCCCUCCCUCCCUCCCUCCCUCCCUCCCUCCCUCCCUCCCUUCCUUCCUUCCUUCCUUCCUUCGCCUUUCAGAGGACUACCUACUGACCCCUCUCUCCACCACAUGGUAAAUGGCUCCCCAGGAGAGUAUAACGACGCUUUUGAAAGAAGUGCUAGAAUAAUCUCUCGAAGGAAGGGAAGGAGAUGGUGGGGUUGCCUGCAUGUUGUCAGGGAGCUCAAACAUGCAGCUUUCGUGACUUAACCAUUGUGCUAGGGUAGGCUUUGUGGUGACCUGGCUGCCUUUGAGUCAGCCACGCUGACAUAAGGAACCUCGACUUCAAGUCCCUAUGAUUCGAAGGGAAAGGUUUCUUCAGGCUGUCAUUGAUGCCCCAUCUGGGGUGAGUGGAUAUCUGCUUCUGUUUCCCCAGGAAAAGUCACAUGACACUAAGGCACGAUUUUCAUAAGGAGAAGGGGAAUUAGGAAACAAGCGAGACCCUGGAAGAUCUAGGAAGGAUGGGGUAUCUUACAUUUCUCAUUUGAUUAUGUUGAGCAGAAAUGUCUUCCACGAAUGAAGCAGCAGCCAGGGCAGACUACUCACGCGGUCUAAGCUAGGUGCAGUGUCUGCUAAAGGAUGCAGGCCUGCGGGUUACCUAAAGAUGUGCUCGCGUGGCUGCUUAGGCAAACUCUACUGUGCAGAGUGGUCUGGUCUCUAAAAGGCACCAGCUUCUCUUAGCCUGUGCAGUAGUGUUUUAUAUGUUUAGAUAAAUAUUACAUGUGUAAUAUAUGUAUAUAAUAUAUACAUAUUUAGCUAAAAUAAAUAUACGUAUAAAUAUAUAAUAUAUAUAGUAGUCUGUGAGGUUAUUAUAUAUAAUAUAAAUAGUUGAAAUUCAUAGAACCUUAGCUAUCACCUCUCAAUGGAUAAUUCCUUCUUAGAAGCGCUAGCAAGAGUAACCUUCCGACCUGGGUUUCGGACAUUAAUUUCUUCAAAUGACUUAAUAACGUGUUCCCCAAAUUAGGGUCCCAGGCGUCCCAGUCUAAUUUAAUAUUUCCACCAAAGAAAAGGGCACAUUGAAGGAAAAGAACGGAGACCGACAACAGAGAUGAAGAUUAGUUAAGGUUUUAAAUCUCAGGUCGAACAGAAUGCUAUUAAACCAUUUUAACGACGACAAGGGACACUGCACUGGCUGGCGUGGUGUCAACUUGACACGAGUUACAGUCAUCAGAGAGGAAGGAGCCUCCCUUGAGGAAAUGCCUCCAUGAGAUCCAGCUAGAAGGCGUUUUCGGAGGGCCCAGCCCAUUGUGGGUGGUGCCAUCCUGGGCUGGUGGACCUGGGUUCUACGAGCGAGCAGGCCGGGCAAGCCGUGUGAAGCAGGCCAGAAAGCACCUCUCCUCCAUGCCAUCAGCUCCUGCUUGAGUUCCUGUCCUGACUUCCUUCAGUGAUGGACCAUGAUCUGGAAGCGUCAGCCAAAUAAACCCUUUCCUCCCCAAGUGGCUUUCAUCACAGCAGGCCCUCUGCAAGGUCAGCCUGUGCUACUCAGUGCACCCCAAUAAAAACAAAAUCACAGCGGUGGGACUGGUUACCUUAGAACGAGAUGGAUAUGUACGAUGAAGCAAUUGUCUUACAUAGGAAACUGUACGGUUUCCAGGAAAAUCAUAAACACGAGAGACGUACUUUACUUGUUAACCACUUCGUAUUGGAAAAAGUAGGUAAGCAGUGUAUCUUAUUUUCACUACUGAUAAAGACAAAAAAAAAAUGGCUGUUACUACUUUGUAGAUGCCAAAUCCUCAACACUGUUGUGGGUGCACAGCAAGUCCCAGGACAUGCAGGAUGGCUAAAAGCAGAGGGAGCCGAGAGACGAUAUAAAACCAACGCUCGGUUAACAUCAGGAAGCGAAAAUAUGUAAUUCCAUACAUAAUCUUAUUUCCAUGAAACCUAAUUUCCAUCGAUGAUGCUACAUAAAUAAAAGGGCUUGACUAUAAAUAACCACUUUAAGAUGUUUCAAUGAAACUCUGCCUCACUCCUCCUCGUAGAACCAAGAGCCCAGAAAACGAGCUUUCCUUUUUUUAAUGCAUGUUCUGAAAACUCCUCUUUAAAACACACGAAAAGUUUUAGAAACAGAUUUGUACCAAGCACCUUACAGAAACUGUAAGUCCAUUACCCCAGUCAGUUUAUGGCUAAAAUGAAGAGAGGGCGUUGAGACCAUGUAUACUCAUAUACCACGGCAUCUCCACGAUGGCAAGAGCCUGUGGCGACAUCAUCUAUGACACCUACGUUCGAAUCUUUCUGCCAUGAAAAUAUAAAGAGCAUGUUUUAAUGUCACUUCUCAAACCCACAAAAGCGGCUCGAUUAAUUCUUAGUGACAGCAUCCGGCAUGAUUCUUCGCAUACAGCGGGUUUGAGGACACCUAGGGUGUCCUCAAAUCACUUUCUCUAGCCUUAGACAUAGGUUCCUAGGGUUGGGAAAGGUGAGGUCCAUCCAGGAGUUCAGAGAGCGGGGAAUGAGAAAGACAAAUGCUUAUAAACCACACUGCUGUUUCUGCUCACCAGAACCUAUCUCCUCUCUGUUUCACUCCCCAGUACAUUUUACCUCCACCUACCUAAGCUGCUUGGGAUUAAUAAAACUGGCCAUGCCACAGCUCACACCCCUCCCUUGCUCACCAGACUUGGAAUCCUGGCAGUUUUCAUCUUUCCACUAUCCAGGCACAGCUUCUUGUUGUUUGAGAAUGAAAAUCCCGGCUGUUCUAAUGACUCAGGAACUAGAUGCUGUGGUGAAAGCCUGCUAGCCCAGAGAGGCAGCAACCAGCGGACCUUCCCACUCUCUCAACGUCCACACAGCCUCAAACACCCUUCCACUCAGAGACCCUCCUUUCUGUUGCUUCCGUUCAUUCUCUGUCGGUUGGUUCCUUACUUCCCCUCUUGACCUAGGGUUGACUUUAUUUUGCUCUUGGAUUAAAGGUGUGUGGCUAGGGUUGGUCCACACUCCAGGUCCUUGUUUUCGGUAAACAGGAGGCUCAAGGAUCAAAGGCUGAAGCCAUACACAACUAGAAAUAGUUCACAGUCGUGGGGUUCACCGUGUGACCAAAUAUCCUGCAACAGCUUCUCCCUCAAACUGAGCUCAGGUCCGAGAUGGGUCCCCUUCCACAGGGUGGGGGUGAGUACGAACCUAGCAUCUAAUGAAAGGACCCUCAGAAACGAGCUGGUAUGGUCCUUGAGAACCAGGCACUGUGGGCUCCUGAUACCGUGAAAGUAUUGAUAGGGCUCAGAUAUCAGAGAACAGUUCUUGGAGACAGAAAGCAUGGAUGCCCUUGAACAAGGGUAAACUCAAGCUCCACCAUUAAGGUGUCUCAGGCAAGCCGCCCGCUCUGGAGCUCCCGGCCCAUCUCCUGUUUCCCCUUCCUCUCUCAAUCCCUCAAACAGGUCCCAAAGCCCGUUGCUUAUUUUGACUUCAGGAAAAACAAAAUGGUAAACAUACAGAAAAAGAAGCUCACGUAGUGAGCUCUAUGAGCCAUGAAGAUUGUGGAAAAGAUCUUUAGUUAAUCUCUCCCCCUAGUUCCUUCUAAAGCCAGGUCUUAAACCAGUUGGAAACCUUUAUCUCUGUUGAUCUCACCAGCAUGAACAUCACUGUUUCCUUGAUAAUCCCCAGCUGGGCCAGGGACAUCAGUUUUCUUUUGGGGACACUGUUUCCUCUGACACCCACCAUUUCCUAGAACUGCGCACGAGGCUCUCCAUGAUCUGGCACCGCCUGUCUUUCCAGUCUUCGAUGUUACGAUUUAGUCUUUCCUUUCCCUGCCUUAUUUCCUUGACUCUUUUGCCUCAUUAGCAGGGUCCUCUCUCAACAGGCUUCUAUAGGGUCUUCUGACUUACACACUGCCUGUCCUGCCUCAGGUCUCAACAUAUAGGUCACAACCUCUGAGAAACACCCACAUCACACCCCAUAAGGAAUGUCCCCAGACCCCAAAAUGAACCAAUGCGGCACAAGUAGCCGAGUUAGGCAUCAAGAAGGGUCCACCCUCUCCCUAGGGUUCCCACGUGAAAACGAACAUUGGUUUACAGCUCUCUUCUUGUUAGAAACUCAGUCUCCCCUAGUUGAGCAUUCUGUUCAAAUUAACAUAACUUCCUCUUGCCAUCUGUGUGCAUAAUUGUCACACAGAUAUGUUAAAAAAUGUCCUGGCAGGGCGUGACAGAGCACACCUAUAAUCCCAGCACUCAAGAGGAUGAGGCAGGAGGAUGCUAAGUUCAAGGCCAGCCCGGGCUACAUGGGAAGUCCUUUCUCAAAAAUACCACAAUGAACAAAACCUCUGGGGGCUGUACGGGUGAAAAGCAGGCUCAAAGAUUAGAGAUUCUUUAUCAACACAGGCAAGUCCACCUUAUCCGAAUGCUUGGGGCAUGGCCAGAAAUAUUUCAAACUUCUAUUGUUCUUUUGAAAUUUUCGGAACAUUUUCAAAUAUACAAAGAGGCAUCCUGAAGACGAGAGCCAAAUCUAAACAAGAAUUCACUUGUUUGAGGAGUGCCUUUCUUACACAGACUGCAGGGAAUUCAUAAAAAUAUCCUAAAAACAAAAACUGAAGUAGGAAACAACUGUGUGGCCAUCACCUUCCAAAAAUCAAACCAAAGCAAAACAAAACUGAAUCUGAGGCGACCAGAGCUUUCUGGGAGGGCGGCUAAAAGGGCUGCCUCUGCAGAUCUCACUUCCCAACAUAGUCUGCCUGCAUUCGAAGGUUAACUGUGAGAAUGAUUUUUGAGGACAUGUUGACCACCCCGAAGAUUCCCGUAUUUAUAAUAGUGCGGGCAUUGAUAAAUGAGGUAGAAGUGAAAAGAAUUCUCUGUGCUAACAAGUCUAAUUUAGGCCAUGAAACGGUCUUUUGGCUUGUUGGGUUUUUUUUUUUUUAUGCUAAAUAAGCUUUCAUUUAUAAAUACUACCCGUACUUUAUUUUAUCACACGCAAAACCAACUGGGAUUAUUUUUUAUGGACAUUUUAAAACACUUUGUGUGUGUGUGUGUGUGUGUGUGUGUGUGUGUGUGUGUGUGUGUGAAUUGUGUACGUCUUGGGGUCGGGGGAUGUCAUGGAAGCCUGAGGAAGGUGCUGAGUAUUCUAUGUCUCUGCCUUAUUCCUUUGAGGCAGGCUCUCUCCCCAAACCCUGAACUCACAUUUUUUUCCCACUAGGCUAGCAGCCGGCAUACCAGCAAACCUCCUGUCUCUGCCUCCUACCCAGCUGGGUUACAGGGCACAAGACAAGCCCCUGCUUAUUACCUGGUGCUACAUCUGAACUCGGGUCCUGUGGCUGCACAGCAGAUGUUCUAAACCACUGAGGUAGCUCUCUGGCUUCUGAAAUUUACUAAUAAUAUGUUCUAUUUUCUCCACUUUGUUUGUUUGUUUUUAAGUUGGGGAAUCUUACUUUGUUACCAAGACGAGCUCGUAUUCCUGGCCUCAAGCCAUCUUCCUACCUCAGCCUCAAGUAGUCGGAGCUACAGACUAGGUCACUGCACCUAGCUUCAACCGUGUUUAGCUUAGCAAAACUAGGCUGGUGUGUGUGUGCGUGUAUGUGUGUACGUGCAAGCUUGUGUCUUUCUGAGACAGCGUCUCAGAAAGAAACCUGGCUUUGAACUUGUGAUGUGGCCAGAGGGUGACCUUGAGCCCCCAUCUUGCCUCUACAUGGCUGCAUUGGAAUAUUCUUAUUUCUAACUUUCUUUCUUUCUUUCUUUUUUUUCUCUUUUUCGGAGCUGGGGACCGAACCCAGGGCCUUGCGCUCGCUAGGCAAGCGCUCUACCGCUGAGCUAAAUCCCCAGCCCCUAUUUCUAACCUUCAAAUCUGUAACUUAUUAACAAUGGACACAACACAAACUCCCUAAUCACCCCUAACACUUAUGUGGAACUUCCGACUUUUUAAAUACAAUUCCACAUGCACUGUUGGUUUGAUCCUUCUCAUAAGCCUGAACUGUGUACGUUUUUAUUUGUGUAUCCAUGUGUCUGUAAGUAUGGGUGUGCACACACUUCAGCACAUGUGUGGAGGUCAGAGGACAACUUGUGGGGAGUUGGCUCUCUCCUUCCACCAUACGGGCCCACGGAUCCAACUGGAGUUGUCAAGCUUGGCGACAACUUCACACACUGAGCCAGCUGGCCUGCUGUGUAUCCCUCCCCGAGAUUUGCAGAGAGCUGCUCCUGAUACAACCUGACCAAAGCUCCUCUAAGUGAGGGCACAGACUUGGGAUGAGUUCUACAAUAGAGAAAAGGGAAAGGGUGACAUUGUCUUGGCUGUGGUGGCAGACCUGAUGUCAGCAGUAAAUAGGUUCCCACGGCCGCUUGUCCCGACUCAACAAGGCUUGUGGUAUUCCACUGAUGACAAGAGUCCCCAGGUUGGGUCACUUUCCCUCCCCUAACUUUUCAAUCGUUGCUUUCUGACACAGCAGAUGUGCUCUGAGAAAGCAGACCUCGAAUAACGCCGUGUUUGCUGUGGUAGGGAGGUGACUAAAUGAGGGACAGAUCACACUGGCGUUCCUUCAGCUACAUCCUGCCAGAUCUUGUUGGGUCUGCCGCUUCUGUUUUGGAAGAGGUAGCAGGGUAUCAUCUGAGAUACCUUUUGUGGGUAAAGAUACUUAAAAACUAACAGAAGACAUACAAUGGACAGACCAUGGCCACGCCUGGGGGCCACGCCUGGGUGGGUUAUUUAGCAGUUCUGGGUUUUGGUUUUCUCACUUAGUACGGUCUCACUGCUUGACUGCUCUCCUGGACCCCAAGCCCCACUUAUAGGUUAGCAAAUAUAUUAAAUUCUACUUUGAAAGGAAAGGCAUCCACCAGGUGGCCACCAUCAUGGACACGAGUUGAGUGCAGCCCUUCAAGAUGUCUAGGGAGACCCAAGCGUUGGGCAGGACCAGUUCGUGGGGACAGUGCAGGCAGGUGUGUGUGGAAAUUUGGAUGACUCCACCGUCUGAAAUGUCAAAGGCCCUGUUAGAGAGAGUGACGUGCUCGCCCUAUUGGAGACAGAAAGAGAGGCUCGGAGGUUGGGCUGACCUUGCUGCUGGGUCCUGGAUAUGGACCACUUAACCCAUGGGCUAAUCUGCAACUGUUACAAACAAAUCAUCUGCAUUGUUUUAAAUCUUGGGGGGGAAAAAGAAAAAGAGCGGAAAGAGGUGCCAAUGGUCACACCAAAGAUAUGUAAGCAGGUGGUGAAAAUGAUGUGUCUCAUGGAAAGAUAGAAACAGACUAAGGCGACAAAGCAAACUAACUAACAAUUAGGAGCCACUGAUAGCCCCCAAAGAUUGUUUUUUUUUUUUAAUGGUAGAAUUAUUUAGCUUUCUGUCAGUGUAUAUGGAGGACAGGUUCAAAUGGGCUGAGUAAGACGGUGAGUAGCCAACGUUCACCAGCUGUGCCCUUGCUACACUCAGAGGCAAAGGAAAAGGCCAACAGUAGCACACUUAGAAUCUCGCCUCUGGUUUCCAACCCAGACUUGGCCCUUGGAAAGAAUUAAAUCUCCUAGCUCUCUCGUUUGGUCUGCCCUACCCUACAGAAGGGAUGAUGUUAAAGAUAAAUUCCUGUCUUAUUAAAGUUUAAAACAUGAUUUGCUUUCUUUUUUAAAAACAAAACAGAACAAACAAACAAACAAACCAUGAUUCUAUAUUCUUCAGGUAAUCCUGAAGAACAAGCCACGUCAACCGGUAAAUGAAUCAUGGAAAGAUCAUUUACUUCUUAGGCAUCCGAAUAGAGCAAGGAAAACAGAAAAGUUUUGUGUGAGGCCUGAUGUGGAGCACUCCGUCGUCCAGGAAUGAACCCCGCCCAGGCUGGCCUCAGACGCUCCUCCCCCUUUCUGAAGCAUGCUCUCCCACAUGUGCUUCUAAUUAAGAUUUUAAUACAGACUUCUUGGUUCAGGCUCAUCAGAGGAAAAAAAAAUGAAUCAUGACUACUACAGAUAAUUAUCUUUAGGAGGAAGCUAAAAGCUGAAAACUUCCAGAACAAGAUGUGGUUCACGAGAAGGAAGUUCAGCAGUCGGAAGUUAGCGGGUGAGCUCAGAGGUCAGCCCCAGAGGAGCGAAAGGUAACCAGCCUGCUACCAGUUGACCAUCAUAUGGCUACAGAGCCAGUCCUAGUAAAUAACUCUAAUUAGUCUAAGUAAGUUUAACAUGGUUGAUAUUCAAUAAGUUUUUUUGGGGCAAGUAUUUAAAACUGAGGCUGGGGAAAUGGCUCAGUGAUUUAGAGCACAAACCAAUGUUCUUUUCCCAGCACCUACAAGGCAGCUUUUACAGCUAUCCUUAAUCUGAGCUCCAGGGGAUCUGGCACUCUCUUCUGACCUCUGCAGGCACCAGCACAUACUGAGCACGCACACACAUGCAGGCAAAGCAUGCAUACACAUUGAAGGAAAUAAGUUUUUUUUUAAAGCACUUAAAACCGAAGGCCAGCAAGACGGUUUAACAGGUGGAAGCCCCAGGCUCAACAACUUGUGUCUGGUCCCCAGGAGACAAUUAGAGAAGGAGUCCUGAAACUUGUCCUCUGAGCAUCACAUAUAGUAGCACAUGAAUGAAUAAAAUGUAACACAAAGGAAAAGGAAAUACUUCAGGUAACCUCUUACCACUGCAGAUCAAACCCACAGCCUGUGCAUUGUAGGACUGUGCUCUGCCACUCAGCUAGAUCCCAGCUGCUGACACUGCAGACCUUGAUUUACAGAGUCCAUCCCAUAAUAUGAAUGCUUAAUAGUAAACACUUUACCAGACAAGAAUAGAACUUUCUGGUAAUGAUUUUUCAAUCUUAUAUUUAAAAAAUAUAUUGUUUUUUAAUGGACAGCAUAUCUCCAGUUUUAACCUAGAUGUCACAUACAUGCAUACAUGUACACACACACACACACACCUGAGCCACAUACUGCAGAAUAUACGUAUUAUAUAUGUUGUAUAUACUAUAUACAGGAAAACACAUAUAUGUAGCAUAAUUUAUCAGCAAACCAACAUCCAUCUAUGCAUGCAUUGCAUAUAAAAUCUAGAAUCCACAUGAGAGAAAAUCUGUGCUAGUUUGCCUGAUUCUUGAUAAUUUGUUUUUCCAUCCAUUUGCCUGUAAAUCCUAGCACUUGGCAAGUAGAGGUAGGAAGAUGAGGAGUUCAAGGCCAGCCCCAGCUAGAUGAGACCCUGUCUCAAAACAAAAUGGAAAGAAAAAAGUCUUCACAGCUACUGAACGAAAAGGUGUGCUUCUGUGUCUUACAGCUGAGCGAGGUUCCUGGUUAACUUAACUCACAGUGACUGGCUUGGGGCAGCUCCCAGAAGCAAGCUCCUUGAUGAGUUUUGGAUUCCUUCAGAAACCUUAACCGGCUUACCAGCCCCACCCAGACAUGACAGACCCAGACUGCAGGUUCAGUGGGAGGAAAGCUUCACCUACCAUUCCUCAUUCUGCCUUCAUGUGUCACAGCUCCCACAGGUCUUAGAUGCAGAACACCCUCUGGUCCAGCUGAACUCCCGGGUCCAGUUCCGAGCUGAGAGGGUCGAGUCCAUGUUUUACAACAGUGCUGUCACUGGCCUCUAGCCAAGCACCUCUCUUCAGGACCCACAAUGGCCGCUGAAGGUCCAGCCCAUACACUCGAAGACCAGAAUUAUACUUCGUUUUGUCAAAACCCUUUAGAACCUGGAGUCAGUCCUGUCUGUGUAUUUGCAUAUCCAUCAGAUAGAAGCUCCCAGAAUCUCAUGUAGCUAGCUACUUUGCAUAAUUACAUAUCCCAUCAUAAAUUCUACAAAGAAACUCUGAGGUGGUGUGCGGUAUGAAAAGGAAGUAAAAACGGAAGCUGCUUUCUUCUCGUGUUAGGGGUCACGUGACAAAUUCUCAUGGUGCAAUGCUAAUUAAUGUAGCUUUUCAACAUCCAAUUUCCAAAGUAGGGGAUUCUGGGGAGCCUUAGAAAGUUUUCUUGUGAGUGGUUUAGCUGCAAUUUCUGUAAUCUGAAUUCUCAAAACAGUCAACACAUCUUAAUAUGUUGAAAAAUGGUCCCGUUUAUUUGCGCCUUCCUGCCUGCCUUCCUGAGUUCAGCUGUGCCUCGCUGGAGGCCAGAUGUCCCUUCCCCAGAGUACACAGAAUAACAGCUGCCCCAUUGCUUCCCGAUUGCUGGUAUCAACUGGUAUCAACACCCACGGCCACCUCUCGUGGCAGGUGCUAUCGAUGUCCACGUCUGAGGAAAGACAGGCUAAACUUAGAUAACGAGUACAGUGACAGAGGCUAUCUGGAUCCAAGAGCCUAUCUCUCGGCCACUAAGGUCACGGCGUGACCUUCUGGGAUCUUAGGCUAUUUUAGUAAUUAGGAAUGUGCUGUUUUCCCUCUCUAAAGGCAGCGGACUUCAUUCCCCGUGAGUCAUUCUGUAGAAAAGGUGAUUCACUGCACACACCUUUUCCCAACUCAGGUCUCCCUUCUCACGGUCAGCGCAGGGGCGACAUCUGUGUUUUUCCUAAGCUUUACAUCUCUCAGACCAACAAGCAGCAGGCUAUGGUAUGUGAUACCACGAGUGACUGAUUGCUCGCCCUGGUCCCUGGUGACUUAAAAGAAGGGCAUUUCCUGGAAAUGUGGGGGCUGGACAUUUCAUUGUCGUGAAGUAUUCAGAGCUCGAGUCACUGUCGUUGCCCGGUAACCGGGAGGUUUGUGUUUGGCAGUGGAAAAGGCAGCACAGCCCAGGUACAGCUGAUUAUUUACUCAGUGUGACCUUCUCCCAGCUCCACACUCACUCUCGGAUUAAUGCUUAACCCCAACCCCUUUUCCUUCUUUCCUGGCUGGUAAUGGAGGCUCCUUCAGUCAAGAAAAUUCAAAUGGGAUAUGCUGUACAGACAAUACACCCAUUCCUCGGAGCUGAAGGAAAGGUGGGAUUGGAACAGGAGACAGGAUUCCUGCUCUUCCAGGGAGAGUGAGUGGAAUUCUACGGAGUGAGGAAGUGGCCUUCUUAUCACGAUUUUACCAGUGAGUUUCUGUCUCAUGAACUCAGCUAACACAACACACUCCCAAACGGUACUGACUCAUUAAUAUUGACCUCGAAAUCAAAAAGGCUUUUCCCUUUGUUUUUUGUUUUUGUUUUUGUUUUUUGUUUUUUGUUUUUUUUGUGAGAAGACCAAGUCAUUUGGUGGAAUGACUUGAAACAUUAUUUCACUUUUUUCCCCCCUUACAUCAAGAAUUGUGGGAUCCAAUAUGAGCAGCUUUGGAACUGAAAGACUUCUUGUCCUCAAAUACCACUUGGGUGGCACAGCUGGCUAAAGUCAUCUUUACUGAUUUCUGUCUCGGGAUUCAGGGUGGAAGCUCGUGAUGUUAGCAGGGAAUCCGCCACAGUGCUUGCCUAGCACACAAUCCCGGAUGAAGAGGAACCUUCAGCGCCCCCGACCCCAAACACUCUGAGCUAGAAUCCUAUAAGGCUCCAACCAUUUUUGCCUUUUCCUGUGAUUAGAGAAGUGAUUCUUUGAGAAUCUCAUACCUGAACACCAUGAAAGAGGAUCACGUCCGUUCUUCUUCUACUUUUUAUUGUCAGAUUCUCCACUUUCCUGAUUAUUUAAUGUUCAAAGGAAAAGAGUUGCUAAUUUAUUUUUUUUACCUGAAAACAUUUAUAUGUAUCAGAUACAUGAAUGGGUUUGGAUGUUUUUGUUGGUAUUUCUAUAUUUAAGUUUCCAUUUUGAGUGUUCUGGGUCUUGUUUCCUUCGAAUGUCCUUAAUUUCAGUGAACGUGUCUACACGCACACAACCAAGUAAGACGUAAUCUUCGUCUCUGUGGAAAAGCCCUAGAUUCUAAGUUUAUUUACCGUUUUUGGAUGGAAGGAUACAAAAGCAAUUUUAGAAAAAUUUCUUCUUUUUUCUUGCCGCACACUAUUCUUUGUAAUCCUGGGUUUUUGGUAUGCCUUUUACCCAUAGGCACCAACAAUCACUCCAAGGAAAAUAUUGGCUUUACUUUAUUUUUGACAGCUAUACAGCUACACAUGUAUAGACUUACUUAGCAAUUUUCAAUUAAAAUAUUAACUUCACAAAUUCCCCCUCCAACACCUCCUAUGCCCCCUCUCAAAUUCAUGACCUCUUUUGAAUUAUUACUUUACACACAUAUAUAGGUAUAUGAAUAAACAUAUAAAUACAGACUGGUAAAUGUGUUGCUAAACGUUGCUUAGGUGUAUGUUUGUAGGUCUGAUUGUCUUAAGCACCAUGUUAAACCUUUGUCAUCUUCAAACAGUGUUCUUGCAAAAGACAUAUUAAAAAAUUCAUAAGAUGUUUAAAAAAAAGAGUACUCUUAUGACCCAAAACUGGCUGUGUUUAAAAUUCUUAGCAAGAUAUAAAGGGUGUGAAUUAUCCCUCAAAUGUCUUAACCUUGUCUAAGGCAAAUUUCCUUUAAAUAGAGUUCACAGCUGAUAGGUGGACUCCUUGUGGCCCUAAAGAAGAAAUGUUUUGGUUCAUGUGUAUCGCCGGGGCUUGAAAGCUCGGGCAGUCCGUUUCUCUGAGUUUAGAUCUUAAGAGAUGAAUCUGCCUGCAGACACCUAAUUUAAAAUUAUGAACGUGUUAGUACCUGCUUCACAAAGACUUUAAAAGAAUUCCCUUCCUCUGGUUGAUGGGGGCUCCUCCUUGUCAUUUGUGCACAGGGCCCUGUCCAGGACAGUGAACGGUUUGUUGCCUGUACACCUGGAGAACCAAAUGAGCACUGACUGUCUUUCUUUCUUUGGAAAGGUGUUUAACCUUCACUUAGGCAUCUUUCCAUUGCGGCCAGAUGAACAAGAUAGCCUUUGUCUCCUGUUUCACAGAGCCUGCAGAAUGUGGGUGCGAAAAUGCACAAUUCACUAUUACACAGGGAGAUAAACAAAUGUUUGGGUUAUCAAAAGUUCAGGGCUAGAGCAACCCAGAGCCAAGGACACAACCUUGUUCAGAAAGUUCAGGGAAGUCUUCUUGGAAGAAAGGCUUUUUCAACUCAGACCUGAAGGACGAAGAGGAGUCAUGCUCGCUCGAGAGGGGUCAUCUGAAGCAGAAGGGAUAGUCUUUGCAAAGGGGGAGCUAUACGCUGACAAACAGUAGGCGAGUCAACAUGGCCGUGAUGAGUAAAUCUGGACCUUAGGUAACCCAGAAGAGAAGACAUCUGAGUUUUGCCCAAAGAAUAAUGGGAUCUUGGAGGUAACAUUCUCUAUUUUGUAUUUUACAAAAAUCCCAAAUAUGAUUCUGGACAUGACCAUCAGAUCAUUGCUACACUAAAGAAUAAAUACACAGGAGUCUAUGUUAAAUGGUUCCCUGCGGUACCGGUGAGAUGUUACCAUGUGUGAGGCUCAGGAAAGGCUGGUGGCUAAUGUUCAGCUGCGAAACGAGGAAGGCUUGAAUUCAAAUCCUAUCCCGUCAUAUUCUAUAAAACCACUUAAUACUGGGGAAAGUCACCUUGAGGUAACGUGUGUAAAACCCCACAAAUGGCGGCGGCCACAAUGUCACCCAGUGUCCCUUCCCAACCUCAGAGUGAAUAAUGGCUGCACGUCAUUCAGGGUCAGCUGCUGUGAUCAAUCUUCACUGACCGAGUUUCGAAUCACACUGGAAACAAGAUGCUGAGCGUGUCUGUGGCGAUAUUUCCAGAACGUUAGAGGGAAAACCAACUCUGAGGCCCUACCAUAUGAACCGGGGUUCCCAAAUGGAAUGAAAGGAGAAAGUGUUGGGCAUCAAUAAUUCUCAUUGUCUCUCAUUCUCUCUCUCUGCCCUCUCCCUUUCCCUCCACCUCCCCCCAUCUCUCCUGUGCCUGUGCCUUCCCUAACAUAAUGGGAUGUCUCUCCACCAACUGAAACCAACCCUUUCUUUAAUGAGCGUCUUGACUGGCAUUUGAUCUUAGUAGCCAACAAUCCGAAAAACCAAGCUAGUGAAUGGCAAGGAUUCAAAACCACUGCUCUUGACUCCUGAAAACGUAACCUGUUCGUUUGACCUUUGCCAAAGGGCCGAGAAAUGACAAAACAUGUGAAUUCUUAGACGGGAAUGUUGCUUAGUGGUGGAGUAACAAUUGGGUCACCUGACAGUAAUAAGGCAAGCAGACAGAAUAUCUUAGCGACGUCGACCAUCUCCCACGAGCAGCCUCAGUCCAGGGACUCACAGGAGGCCUUGCAGAACUUAGCAUUCGGUAAUAUCCGCCCCCUCAGUGGAAGAUAUGAAGGAAAACCAGCGGAGGGUAAAAGGCCAUGGGGCCCCUACAAGUACACAGGCCAUUCCUUCAGACACACAGGAGAGAUGUCAUAGACCAGGAAAUGCCUUGGAAAGUCACUGCUUAUGGCUUUUAUUCAAGCUGUCAGUUAUGAACUCUCCAGGCACAAACGCCAGACCCACACUCCCAUGAGGAAAGCCAGUGUUCAUGAUCAACCUUAGUCUUGGUUCAAACAGUGUACACACCGAGAGCCACUCUUAUCAGGAUGUGGUGGAGACUUUCCCCAAGCCCAAGCUCCACAUUGCCAGCUGUGGUGGCUUUGAAUGCAAAAUGUCCCUUAGUUACUCGGGUAUUUACAAACUUGGUCCCCAGUUGGUGGCGCUGUUCAGAGGUUUAUAAGGUGCAGCCUUGCUGGAGGCUGGCUUUGAGUGUUUAAAGCCUUCCUCAGCUUCCAGUUUGCCCUUUCUGCUUUGUGCCUGUGGGCGAAGAUGUGAGCUCUCAGCCUUUUGGUGCAUGCCUCCCUAGCAAUGGACUCUCUGGUACUUCAAGCCAAGUAAACUUUUCCUUCUAUGAUGCUUCCUUGCGUCUGUGCCUGGCAGUGAGUGCUGUUGGUCAUGGUGUUUUAUCACAGCAAUAAAAAAGUAACCAAGACACCAGCCAAAGGACUGACCGCACAAGCAAGAUGUUGAAGGACAGUAGUCUCCGGCCCUUUCUGUAACUCAGCUGUGUAUACCGAUGUAUUUCAAUUGGCUUCAAUAAUGGACAGCACUGUAGAGCGAAGGCCUCACUCCUCAUAGGCCACCUAAGUACACCGAGUAUCUCAGAAACACAUUUACCCUCUAUGCUUAAAGGAUUUAAAGUACAACAAUUGACUCAGAACUCUGGAGGCAGAGGCCAGUAGAUCUCUGUGACUUCCAAGCCAGAUUGGUCUACAUAGCAAAAUCCAGGCUAGCCAGAGAUUCUCAGUGAGACCUUGUCUCCGUAGCAACACCACCACCACCACCGGUAAAAACUCAAAACCAAGACAACAACAAAGAAACAUUCACUUUCCAGCUGGGCAUUGUGGUGCAAUACCAGCAUUGGGCAAAGGAGGGGAGUCCAGGUCAGGCUGGGUAACACAGGAAGUGAGGAUACACAAAUAGUGAGAGCCUCCAUCAAAAGUCCACAAAUCCACAAUGGGGAAGAGGGUGGGCCUGAGAGGGAAGGAUGGCUCAGCAGUUAAAAGCACUUGCUAUUCUUUUUUUUUUUUUUUUUGGUUCUUUUUUUCGGAGCUGGGGACCGAACCCAGGGCCUUGUGCUUCCCAGGUAAGCGCUCUACCACUGAGCUAAAUCCCCAGCCCCAACACUUGCUAUUCUUGUAGAAGUUUCCAGCACCCCUGUGGCUGAUCAUAGCCGUCCAUAGCUACAUUUCCAGAGACUCUCUGGUCCUUUUCUGACCUCCUUGUGUACCAUGCAUGCACGUAGUGCACAUACAAGCAGGCGAAACUCUCAACCACAUUAAAUAAGAUGUAAGUAUCUAAAAUGCAAACAAAACCCUCCCCCAAACCCACAAUGGGGCUUGAAAGAUGGCUUAGCAUUCAGAAGCACUUGUUACUCUUGCUGUAGACCCAAGCUGGUUCCUCCACAUCCAUGACAGAUAUCUCACACUGCCUAUAACUCCACUCCAAGGGGUCUGACACCGUCUUCUGUCCUCUACAGGUGCCCACACCUGUGUGGCAUUCAUAUAAGCACACACACACACACACACACACACACACACACACACACACACAACUACUAAAUAUAUAAAUACCAUCUCAAUCUGUAUAUUUACUCUUAUCUUUUACAAAUUACCCUUCAGCAGCAGGUAUGAUUUAAAAAGCCGAGUUCUACUCUGGCUUCCUUCUCCAAGCAUUUUCUUUUUAAAAAAUGCCACUGAAAACUGAGAAAUCUCCUGGUAGGGAUAUGCUAAAACACAUAUACACACCCUGCAUGUGGGCAGGUUAAAGGAUCCCAGUCAAACGGCACACACAGUUUACUUUUCAAGGCAGAUGGCAAUCCCUGCCUACUCCAUCGGGUUACUCCGCCAUCUUGAAGGGAUUGUUCCCCGGGUACCUGGGGCAGCACCAAUCCUCUGCUCUUCCCUGAUCUAGCUGGUUCUGGAGGCAACAUGGGAGCUUUUUGUUCGCUGCCAUCUUCCAGCUCUUUUCAAGAGCUCCUGGCAAAUGGAAGGUGUCGGUAUCUGUAGAACAGAGCAGUUCUUUCCUUCACCCAGCUUCCGUGGGACAAGGCAGCACAGCCGUCCAGUAUUGAAAAAUGCUCUCCCACAAUUAUUCUGAAUUUUAUAGAGGACAAGCAAGCCUGCAGAGCGCUGUGUAGGACAAUGAACCUUAACUGGUGAAGGGGAAAAAACCUUUUAAUGACCUUUUCGUUGCUAAUGGGUUUAUUUUUACGUGUGUGGGAGUUCUGCCUGCACGUAUGUCUGUGCACUGUGUGAAGGCAGUGACUGUGGAAGCCGGAAGAGGGCAUCCCAGCUCCUGAAACUGAAAGAAGGUUGUGAGGCAGAUACAUGUGGCUGCUGGGAACCCGGCACGGCCAGAGCUGGAGGAGUUGACGUUAGAUGGUCCUCUAAGAGAGAUGGCCGAAAUACAGCCAUGGGAAAAUGUUCCGCACCUCCAGGCGGCCGAGUGCCUCUGUGCCGGGGCCUGACACAUCCGAGUCACUCUGUGGCAGAGAAACAUCACAUUUCUAUUUGUGAUGGUCACUAAGCUCUUGUGGUUAAAAUGUACUUUACUGUAAAUCACACAGCAGGUGGGUUUUCCGUAACGGACUACUCAUUAGAGAACAAAUCCUAGCUAAGCAGGUAGUUUUUACGUCAAUCUGGAAUGAGGAAAUGUGCCUACCAGAUGGGCCUGUGGUCGCCCUGGAGACUUUCAGAGGCAGAGCAUGGGGUUGUGCCUACAGUAGAAAUCAAAGGGGGGCAGAGCUGGGCAUGGUGGCAUAGCACCCUUAAUUCCAGCACUCCACUCAAGGCCAGCCUGGUCUACAUUUUGAAUUCUAGCCUGGGCUCAUACUGAGACCUUUUCUUUCUUUUCUUUUCCUUUCCUUUCUUUCUAUCUUUCUCUUUUUCUUUCCUUUCUUUCUUUUUCUUACAUGUCUUUCUUCUUCUUUCUCUCUUUCUUUCCUUUCUUUUUAGAAAAGGAAAGAAAAAAGAAAAAAAACAGGAGAAAGGAAUGUCCCUCGAAUACAGACAGGUGUGGUCAGGGCAAAACCGUAUAAAGAACUCACACAGUGUUUUCUAAUUAUAAACUCUGAGCUCUAACUAUCUUGAGAGGCCACGCUGUACUCUGCACAGCACAGACAGGCGUCUGAACCAUCCCAGUGACAGGAGGUCGCCCAUCUCUUCAUGUUUAAAGCCCAGAGAGAAGGCUUAGGAGAGAUGGCCAGUCCGUGUGCCAUGGCCCCUGCUUUCUCCGUGUCUGUGUGUCCUCCCUGGCUCACUCUGGCUUUGCCCUCUGUGGCACAGAAUCGUCCAAACUUCCAAACCCUCCAGAGGAAAAAAAAUUUAGAAGCCAUAAGAAUGUCCCAUAGUCUAACCGUGAAAAGUAGACCAUUUGAAAUUAUAACAAAUACCUGGAAAUCUUUAUGCGGUGGUGGUGGGCCCUUCCUAUUUCAACAUUGGAACUGGCAAAGUAUUUAAUCUGACUGGUGAGCAAAGAAACUCAAUUAAAAAAAUUACUACUUUUCACAUAAUAAUUAGCCUUUAAGAACCCCAAAUUAUCAAACUGCUAUUCAGCUGUAAAAUAAAAUAAGUCUUAGGCUUUACAAAUAAUGAACAAAAUUUAGCGGAACAUAUUACCCAGGGCAUUGUUAAUGACGGUGAAAAACAGCUAUAAAAAAAAAAAACCCUGCGUAAUUGUGGUAAAUACAAGGCCACACCUGGAUACUCCUGUCCAUGUGUUAUUGUAGCACGUAAGAGGUUCCUGAUAAAGGUCGUGGCUACAGAACAAUUUUCGGUGUCUCUCCAUAUCCCGCUUCUUUGUCUUGUUUUAGAUGUAGUUAUUUAUUUUAUGUGCUUGAAUGUUCUUCCUGCAUGUAUGUAUGUUCACUGCAUGUGUGCCUGGGGCCUGCAGUGGUCAGCAGAGGCUUUCAGAUUCCCUUGGGAUUGUGGAUGGCUGUGAGCCACGCAGGAUGUGGGUGCCGUAAGAGGAACAAGUGCUCGUAACCACUGAGCCAUCUCCUCGGUCCCCUCUCCUGUUUCUAGAAGGCUUCAUAUGUAAAUAUGAAGUUAACUACAAAGAAAACCGGUUUAUAAAUCUUGUUCAGGAACCAAGUUUUCUUUUCUUUUCUUUUCUUUUUUUUGGUUCUUUUUUUCGGAGCUGGGGACCGAACCCAGGGCCUUGCGCUUCCUAGGUAAGCGCUCUACCACUGAGCUAAAUCCCCAGCCCCCCAAGUUUUCUUAAACAAGGGUGGCUGUCAUAAUUAAAAAGAAUAAGAGACAUCACAUCAGCAGAUGAAGAAAGGGAAGAGAGAGGAAAGAACGAGAAAGGUGGGCAGAAAGCUUCCAAGACAGGCUUCCAAAGAUGGCCGCCACAGCAGGUCUCUAUAAAGCACCCCAUUAUUGCCGCACACCGAGGACUGAAACAGCAAGCCUUGGUUUCCCCAGUCUUCACUAUAGAUCAGGGAACCGGUGUUGGUGAAGAAAUAAAAAUCCUCUGUCCUCGUUUACUAAAAGUUUUCUUUUGAGCAAGAUGCCACUUGUGGUCACUGGUCCACCACUCUGAUUAAAUAUAGCUUAAUUACAUAGUUGAGAGACCUAAAGUAAAAGUACGAAUAUUCACUGGGAGUGCUCCUCUUCCUUAAAUAAAAAUAAACCCCGCCUUUGAAACCAGAUGUGAAACUGAGCACAGUGGCACACACAUACCUGUCCUCCUAGCUCUUGGAAGGUAGAGGCUGAGGACCAGGAGUUCAAAGACCAACCCCUGCUAUAUUGUAAACCCAAGGCCAGCCUGGGCUACAUAAUCCGGCCAUUAAAAACCAAAACAGAGAAAGAGAAAUGAAGCUCAAAGUAAAAAAUGAAUCAAAGAAGAAUUAUUAAAUAUGAAGAGAGAAACAAAUUUCCCUGGGUGUGGGGCUUAUUACAUCAAUGUUACUGUGCUAAGCAAAGUCCUCUCUGCUCAGGUAGAGGAGACCUUUGGCAGCGACAUAUAGAUUCUCAGUCUGAGGGAUCGGUGGUGUAUGUAACCCACCAGGCUAACAGGUAUGACACAGCCGCUCUGUGCCUCACUAGGGGUACACUGUACUGACCAUCCGAGAACAAGGACUCUAGACUCCGAUCCAUUACAGAAUUCUCUCUUCGAGGUAAUUAAGUCACAGUGAUAACACAUGUUUAAAUAACAGGACCGUUAAGAUGGUAGGGUUAAAACAGGGAGGUUGGGAGCACGGAGGAAGCUAAUUAAAGGGCUAGCAGCUGGGUAGGAGAUGGUCGAGCUGACCACACAAAAGGAAAGCCUGUGACUAUACUUCAAGUUGCCUUGACCCCUGACAGCAGGAGUCCCGUUUCCUCCUGCUGACACUGAGAAGGCUGACCAGUGGCUUCUGGAGCUUGUGCACUUAGGGCCUAGAGGGCCUGGAUGCUCUGACGCUCACCUCAUAUAUCUUCAUAAAACUUUAAAAUCCUUAGGGAGAACCCACUGGUCUGCUGUCCGUCUUGGGGUAGACCAUGACAGCCCCUCUUUAGAAGGCUGUUCAGCUAUACAAACUUAACCACUCCUGUGCCGAGUAAACUUCCAUUAAACCGGCCCUUGACUGAAUUCAGUCCUUCAAGGAGAUGAGAACUGCGGGUCCCCCUCCUCGCAUGGGGGGCGGUCUCUGCUACAGUGCCUUGGUUAGCAAUCUACUUCCUGUAGUUACCCACAUGCCCAUCACAGUCCUAGCUCCAUAGCCUUGUAAGGUUUCUGAGAUGUUUCUUUUGGGGCCUUCUCAGUAUUUCGAGCAAUUUGCUUCUUCUGGAGAAACUGUUUUGGUUUGGUUUUUGUUCUUGUAGCCUCUCUUGAAAAUGACAGAGUUAACACAGCUUCAGCAACAUCCAACAUCUGUCUCGGAUAUCUAUGCCCUGCAAGGCUCCAACGUUCCGUCGAAGGAAUCGAGCCACCGUGGCAGAUUUAUAGACAUGUAUCUCACACAGAAAACUCUUCCCCACCCUAUGUUCUGGAGGAAGUUGUGUCAGAGGACACAAUGUAAAGAAGUUGGGCUCUCGGAACCUCAGUGCUAUUUUCUGUCCAAACGGAAAUUAAAAACUAAGAUACCAGGAAUAACUGGGAAAAAAAAGGGAAGAAGAAAACCAGAAGUGAGUUGUGGGCAGCAGGAGAUUUUGCAACUGAAUCUUGAGUAAGGUUAAGGAAGAUGGCACAAGACACUCAGAAACCUGGGGCUACGAACCCGAGUGUGGGUGGGCAGGCUCAUCAGUGAUGGAGGGGGUUGGGUGGGUGUGUGUGUGUGGUGGGGAGACCUGCUGGUGGAGUUGAGGUCCACACAAGUUCCAAUGGUACAAUGUCACAAUGGUAACUGGACACAACUGGGCUGUCAUGAUAUGUUUUCCCCUUGAGUCACACACAGCCAGGGUCUAUCUACCCUGCAUCACAGGGCCAGCAAAAGCAGAGAAGGGCUGAAUGAUGACUCAUUGGUCAGGGAGCCUAAGGCUCUUGGGGAGGACCUGGGCUGCUCUCACCACUCACGUCGGGCAGCUCACAACUGCCUGCAACUCCAGCACCAGGAGAUCCACACCACCCUCUGGCCCACAGGGGAACCAGUAUGCAUGUGAGGCACAUAAGCUCACGCAGGGACAGGGACAGGGACACACAGACACACACACACACACACACACACACACACACACACACACACACAGACACACACACGAUGAGUUGUUAAAAAAACCUUCUAAAAUAUAGUAGAAGAAAAAGAUUUCUUCAAUAAGGCCACACUGGGGAGAGGGACGAAGAGAACUAGUGAAUUCCUCAAAUUUGUCUCUUGGGUCCUGAAGUGAGGUUGAAGUUUAAAUAGAUGGCCAAGGACUUGCAAAUCUAAGAUGUCUUAGUCAGGUGUGGUCCCAUCUACCCUGGACCCCUGGUCGCCUGAACUUCAGUUUCAUUCGGAGGUGGUCUGGUCUUUCCAGGAAAUACAGUCCAGGAUAUAAAGCCCAGGAUAUGAAGUCCAGGAAAUAAAGUUCUUGUCCGGUUGGGGCCCUUUCCUUCUCCGAACAUUGAGAUUCAUAAGGAAAUCUCAUGUCUUUGGCUCUAUUGCUGCAGUAGUCUGACAGUCAAAUUGAGACACACGGUCUUUUUACUUCAUUUCUGCUGGGCCCACUAAAUGACUGUCAGGACUAGUGAACAGACUUUAGACUUUGGCCAUCUGAGGCAUUAUCUUUCGAGAAAAGGUGGCUAGUUCACCAAAGAGACACCUCUCUCCCUCUCUCUCUCUUCUUCUCUCUCUCCCUCUCUCCCUCUCUCCCUCUGUCUCUCUCCCUCUCUCCCUCCUUCCCUCCCUCUCCUCCUCCUCCUCCUCCUCCUCCUCUUCUUCUUCUCCUCUUCCUCCUCCUCCUCCUCCUCCUCCUCCUCCUCCUCCUCCUUCUUCUUCUUCUUCUUCUUCUUCUUCUUCUUCUUCUUCUUCUCCCUCUCUCUCUCUCUCUCCCCAAAGCAGCCCAGCCUCUUCCCCCCUCCUUCAUUUCCUUUACACAGAUUAUUAAUUAGGCCGCAGCAUCAGAUGAGACACAGUCACCAGCUACAUUAGAAUGAGAUUGCGUGAAUUCCCUUCCCCCGCAACUCCCAUGUGCUAACCCGGACAUGGCUGUGGUAUGGCCCCCGAGAAUAUUAUUUUCCAACCAUCUUUACCUGAUAAUAAGGACACCCUCAGGAGAAGCAUGUGAUUUUGCACACGGGAGAUGGCCUGAGGCUUCAUCCCACCCCUCUAAAGUAUCUAACACUUGCCAUCGUACAAGGUAAAGAAGAUCCUUAUAAACCUUUGCUUAAGCCUUGCAGAUAGUAAAUGAUUGGUUUCAAGCGAGACAAGAAAUGUGCGCAUGCGUUGUUUUCCCAGCUAAGCCCAACCAUUCACGCAUGCACCCACUCCCCGUUUUCCCUUUUGUGGUGCUAAGGACUGAACAAGGGGUUCACCCAUACAAACGCUUUACCCCUGGCCUCCCAGUCUAUACUUUGGUGACAUGUAAUAAUAGACUAGUUGGUGAGCCGCCUUCUAAUGGUGACUACUGAGAGACAGGAGCAAAGGGGCUUCCUGAGGGACACAGCACGGGCCCAUCUGAGGACCUGUCCCUGUGACCUUCAGGAAGCCACCUGAAUCUGAAGACCUCGGCGAACUCAACCUCACUGCAUGCUUCACUCUUGUUUCCCCAGUACCUAGGACUCUGCCUGAUGUCUAGGACACGUUCAUCAAGGUCACGCUGAGGGGGACAGGUGGGCACAAUGGACCAGGAGGAGUCUCUAAUCUGUCCUAACUUUCUACUGCUGUGUGGUUUACAGCAACAGCCAUGAGGUACACGAAGCUGCUUAAACUUAAAUUAACUGAAGCAAUGCACGUCCUUGGCCCCACUGGCCAUGUCAAGUGCCCACUGGCUGCUAUGGCUGGGGUAACGGAUGGCACAGAACUAUAGAGCCCUCAUCACCACAAAGCUCUGAGCAGGCAUGCUGUUGGGUACGUCGCAGAGUGACAGGAGCACACUGUGCCCGUGAAAACACAACCCCAGAAACUUCUAGAAACUUCUAGUCCAGAAACUUCCGUUGAUGGAGCUCAAGGGAAUCUGAAGAAAGAGAGCAUUCCCUCCAAGAAAUCAGUGUAUCUUGAAAGGCCCGUUUCUCGUAGAGAAACCUAGAGCCUCUGGCAAACUAUGCUUAGCAACUGGGCAUCACAUCGCCAAGAGCAGAGUGGGGCUGUAUUAUGACCAUGUAUUUGGCGAUACAGUUUUAGAUACAAGAUCAAAAUCAUAAACCGUUAAAGGAAGCGGUAGAUAAGCUGGAUUCCAUUAACCUAUUGAAAUGUCUGCCUGCAGAAGAGACAGUUGAGGGAGGUAAGACAAUUCACAGGCUAGGGAAUUCAUUUUCCUUUCAAAAUACAUAACCAGCAGAGGGUUUAAACUCCCAGUGCGGAGGCUCACACUCUCAGUGCUUAAGAGCAUGGGUUGCUAUUACAGAGAAUCCAAGUUCAGUUCCUAGCGCCCACACUGGGCUUUACCACCAUCGGUGGCUCCGGUGGUUCAGGGAGUUCCGAUGCCUUCUUCUGAGCUCCACAGGCACCAAACGCACAUGUGAUGCACACACACACAUGCAGCCAAAACAUUCAUAUAUAAAAGAAGACAUAAAUCUAGUUCACUGUCUGAUUAAGAACAUUGUUUCGUUUGCUUACUUUUUUGCUUGGUUGCUUGAGUGUGUGUGGGUGUUUGUGUGUGUGUGGGGGGUGCCAGGUACGGAACCCAGGCCCCUGUGCAUGUGAGGCGAGUACUCUGUCAGUGGGCUACAUUCCAGAGCUUCUAGUAAGAACAUCCUUGGGAGGACUGGUGAUGUGGCUCAGUGGGUAGAGGUGCCUGCCACCAAGCCUGACGACCUGAAGUGGAUGGAUCCUUACAGACACUGUAAGUGAUCCUGGCAGGAAUAAGAAUCUUCAGGAAACACAGUAUCUGACCAUUGGCUGUCAGAGGACUGGAAACAAUGGUCUCUGAGAAACUGGAAUUUCCUGAGAAUCUAAUGCUGGGAGAAAGAGAAAGCUCGAGGCCGGUGCCACCCAGAGCAGGGACACGCCUCCUGGAAAGUGGUUACACAGCUCGGGCCACUCUUCUGAGGAUGUUGCAGGAAAGAGUGAGUCUGGGGUAAAUUAAAGGUGAGGAGGGCAGGACUGGCCCUAGCCUGCUCAGUUACCCAUGCCCCCUGUCUCCUAUUUAAAUCGAAGCUUCAAGUCAAGACCCUGAACAUAGAGUUUGGGGGACGUGGGGAUCCACGGGACCUCCUAAUGUGCUCUUCUGCUCAAUGUGGCCACACAGAAUACACCUUCCUCCGACUGUCACCGUCACUUCUCUGUCGAGUUGAGGGAGAGUGGCAGGGUCUAGCAAGUCAGGCUACAGGGCUUAAGCUGUGACCCUCACAACUUGGGUAACAAAACCAGACUAAUGGCGGUACACAUCAGCAGCCAGAAUCCAAGUAUGAGUAGUUAAUCUGCACUUGAGACAGCUAGAUCCCGAUUAAACACGAGCUACUCCAAGUGACGGAGACUGCUUGCUUGGUUGGUUGGUUUGGCUCCUUUGGGUAUUGGAAAGUCGUGUCUUACAAAGAGUGGGCGCUCACAUUUUAAAGCCCUUCUUUAUGUAUAACCACUUUGGUUACACAUUCCCCAUCCCUACAGUGACACAAACUCGUACGUAUUUUAGUCGCUUCUCAAAAAUUGACCGUCUAUAUUCCUUCUAAACAGACAGCCCACAGGCCUUGUACUCGACCACCAGACAGAAACAUAUCUACAGAAAUGACAGCCACGUACCCAAAGGUAUUUCUCAGCAGUUUUCAAAAUUCCAUCUGAGCCCUACAUUGUAAUUUCAAACACAAACAAUUCAUCCUGAAAGACCUUCUUGUGGCUUCUAGGAACCACAUCCACAGCAACAAAGGACACAUGGACUCCCCGGCUGGCUCCCCGGGUGCCCUUUAUAAAGUGCCAUUCACUCAGUGCACAGUGAGUUUACUCUUAAUCUUGGCCCACAGGAUGGGAGACCUUCGAGCCUUCUCAGGCCCAAGUCAACCUCAGGAGGGAGGCUGACCUGAGGACUGACCUCAGCCCCCCCUCCCUCCCCCAUCUCCUGUUGCCAUAGAAACCCGAGCUAACAGCUCAUGUUGACAAGUGUAUCUAUGGCAACUCACAGCCGACACCAUACUUCUUUCCGCUUCUGCCUCCAAACCCAGUAUUGAGAAACCAUGGGUAACACCGAGGAGUUUAUAAAUCAACGGGGCAGGCACACCCGAGAGCUCUGCUUGUAAAAGCCCUGGAUAUGUUAAGUGUCCAGCGGGGUUCUUUUGACAGACACUCUCUUAAAUUAACUUUUUUUUUUUUUAGGACACAUGAUUUUUUAAAAGGUAUUUCUUUUAAACUUCACGUUGAAACAAUUAGAUGAUUCUUAGGAUGCAAAUGCAGCUAAUUAAUUAACGUGAGUAUGGGCUCAACCCUAAGUCAUCUGUAGUGUUUAAUGAAAGCGGGUCUCCGGGUCUGUCCUUUUAGGGAGGGGAAUUUGAGUUUACUAAGAAUGGGUUUUAAUAAGAACUGAAGCAUGCAAACUGAGCCUGAGGGUGUGUGUGUGUGUGUGUGUGUGUGUGUGUGUGUGUGUGUGUGCGCGCGCGCGCGCGCGUGUGUGUGUGUGUGUGUGUGUGUGUGUGUGUAAAAGGACAGCAGUACACACCCUAGAGUGGGCAUGAGUUCUCUAGGGUGCCAUCUCAAGGGUAUCAUAAAAUCCAAGCCUGGUGUGGCGGCGCGGGCCUUUAAUCUCAGCACUCUGGAAGCAGAGACAGGUGGGUCUGUGAGUUUGAGGCCAGCCUGGUCUACAUCGUGAGUUCCAGAACAGCCGAGGUCCACAGAAAGAGCCUGUCUCCCUACUCCCCCACCAGAGAUAAUAAUUCAGCUGGGCGCGCGACAGUCAAAGGAAUGCAGCACAGGACUCCGCCAUCUGUGCAAAGGAUGCGGAAGGAAUGAAAAUGGAGCUUGGUGACUGAUCUCAUCGCCUUCCUUUGCCCUCUCAAAACCAUUCAGAAGCAGCUUUCCCAAACCACGGCCUCCUGCACGGGGCUUCAUCAGCACCCCUUGCUCCCUGAAGAAGGGCAAGUAAAGAAAUCCAGGAGGCUGAGGCAGGAGUACUACCAGGAGUUCAUGACCAACCUGGCUACAGAAUGAGACACAGAGGCUGGAGAGAGGGCUAAGCACUGACAGCUUUUUGCAGAGGAUCAAAUUUCCGCUCCCAGCACCCACUCAAGUGGCUCACAACCGUCUGGAAUUCCAGUUCCAAGGGAUCCAUCGCCCUCUUCUGGCCUCUCCUGGAACUGCAUUGCAAGCAGACUAAGUAUAGGCAAAACACAUACAAAAUAAAAAUAAAUACAUCUCAAAAAGAAACUUAAAAAAAAAACAAAACAAUGGAGCAAAAACUAGGUUUGGAUUACAUCAUA